rnacentral:misc_RNA from 1 species
AACUUUUUGAGCAAUAGGUGGAUUAGUCGAGGUCUCCCGAGAAGAUUCAAAACCAGAAACCUUCGGAGGGAAAAGAGGGGAGGGUUCAUUUUCACCAACUUCUUCUUUGACUUCAACUUUGUUGCUUCCAUUAGAGGCAGAACUUCUUUCCUCUCUCUUUAUCCUCUUAGAGAUUACUUCAUCAUCAGGUUCUUCUGAAGUUGAGCUUUCAGCUGCACUUAUGGAGAUCUCCACAUGAGCAUUGAUUUCACGUGACCCAUUUGGUUCACAGGUCAUAUCAAAUUCUUUCCUUUUGUCAAAAUGAAGGCAUCCAUGGAAUGCAUCAAAUUCAGGAAAGAAA